UCCCCUAGUAACUGCGAGUGAAGCGGGAAAAGCUCAAAUUUAAAAUCUGGCGGUCUUUGGCCGUCCGAGUUGUAGUCUGGAGAAGUGCUUUCCGCGCUGGACCGUGUACAAGUCUCUUGGAACAGAGCGUCAUAGAGGGUGAGAAUCCCGUCUUUGACACGGACUACCAGUGCUUUGUGAUGCGCUCUCAAAGAGUCGAGUUGUUUGGGAAUGCAGCUCUAAAUGGGUGGUAAAUUCCAUCUAAAGCUAAAUAUUGGCGAGAGACCGAUAGCGAACAAGUACCGUGAGGGAAAGAUGAAAAGCACUUUGGAAAGAGAGUUAAACAGUACGUGAAAUUGCUGAAAGGGAAACGCUUGAAGUCAGUCGCGUUGGCCGGGACUCAGCCUUGCUUUUUGCUUGGUGCAUUUUCCGGUCGACGGGCCAGCAUCGAUUUUGACCGUCGGAAAAGGGCUAGGGAAAUGUGGCACCUUCGGGUGUGUUAUAGUCUCUAGUCGCAUGCGGCGGUUGGGAUCGAGGAACGCAGCGCGCCGCAAGGCAGGGGUUUGCCCACUUUCGCGCUUAGGAUGCUGGCAUAAUGGCUUUAAACGACCCGUCUUGAAACACGGACCAAGGAGUCUAACUUACCUGCGAGUGUUUGGGUGGAAAACCCGAGCGCGUAAUGAAAGUGAAAGUUGAGACCUCUGUCGUGGAGGGCAUCGACGCCCGGACCUGACGUUCUCUGACGGAUCCGCGGUAGAGCAUGUAUGUUGGGACCCGAAAGAUGGUGAACUAUGCCUGAAUAGGGUGAAGCCAGAGGAAACUCUGGUGGAGGCUCGUAGCGAUUCUGACGUGCAAAUCGAUCGUCAAAUUUGGG
rnacentral:rRNA from 1 species